CCAACCAGUUGCUACAGACGUAAAAAAAAAACCAGAAAACCACCUGCAACAUCUUCAAGAAAACAAAUCUGACGAUCAAAAUCACCUAUUAGAAGACAGACAAGCUGACAGACAAAAAAAAAAAAAAAAAAACAUGAGCCUGCCAGCCUGCCAUUAGGGACAGCCACGCACCCCCCCACCCCUUUUAUACAGAAUAUGCAAACUAUUAAAAGAAAUAUAUACAAAUAAAAGAGAAGAAAACCAAACAAACAACAACAA